rnacentral:rRNA from 1 species
GACCAGACUCCUACGGGAGGCAGCAGUGAGGGAUAUUGGGCAAUGGGGGAAACCCUGACCCAGCGACGCCGCGUGAGGGAAGACGGUCUUCGGAUUGUAAACCUCUGUCUUUGGGGACGAAAAAGGACGGUACCCAAGGAGGAAGCUCCGGCUAACUACGUGCCAGCAGCCGCGGUAAUACGUAGGGGGCAAGCGUUAUCCGGAUUUACUGGGUGUAAAGGGAGCGUAGACGGCAGCACAAGUCUGGAGUGAAAUGCCGGGGCUUAACCCCGGAACUGCUUUGGAAACUGUGCAGCUAGAGUGCAGGAGAGGUAAGUGGAAUUCCUAGUGUAGCGGUGAAAUGCGUAGAUAUUAGGAGGAACACCAGUGGCGAAGGCGACUUACUGGACUGUAACUGACGUUGAGGCUCGAAAGCGUGGGGAGCAAACAGGAUUAGAUACCCUGGUAU